rnacentral:rRNA from 1 species
GAUGAACGCUGGCGGCGUGCCUAAUACAUGCAAGUCGAGCGAACGGACGAGAAGCUUGCUUCUCUGAUGUUAGCGGCGGACGGGUGAGUAACACGUGGAUAACCUACCUAUAAGACUGGGAUAACUUCGGGAAACCGUAGCUAAUACCGGAUAAUAUUUUGAACCUCAUGGUUCAAAAGUGAAAGACGGUCUUUCUGUCACUUAUAGAUGGAUCCGCGCUGCAUUAGCUAGUUGGUAAGGUAACGGCUUACCAAGGCAACGAUGCAUAGCCGACCUGAGAGGGUGAUCGGACACCCUGGAACUGAGACACGGUCCAGACUCCUACGGGAGGCAGCAGUAGGGAAUCUUCCGCGAUGCGCGAAAGCCUGACGGAGCAACGCCGCGUGAGUGCUGAAGGUCUUCGGAUCGUAAAGCUCUGUUAUUAGGGAAGAACAUAUGUGUAAGUACCUGUGCACAUCUUGACGGUACCUAAUCAGAAAGCCACGGCUAACUACGUG